GUUAUAAAUUCCAAUGUAAGUAUUUUGGGAGGUAGAUGUUUGCCACAUUUCAAAACGGGCUGAGUGUUGUCCUGCAGUGUGUGGCGUGUUCUUCAUUGCUGUCUGAACUUGAUUCUCUCUCCUUUUUGUGUACUUUAGUUGAGAUGGAUAGUCUGUCUGAGCUAUCCCAGCAAGGCGCCAACCAUGUCAAUUUUGGCCAGCAGCCUGUCCCAGGAAACACAGCUGAGCAGCCUCCGUCCCCUGCACAGCUCUCCCACGGCAGCCAGCCCUCUGUCCGGACCCCUCUUCCGAACCUGCACCCUGGGCUUGUGUCAACACCUAUCAGUCCUCAGCUGGUCAACCAGCAGCUGGUGAUGGCCCAGUUGCUGAACCAGCAGUAUGCAGUGAACAGACU
rnacentral:lncRNA from 1 species